rnacentral:rRNA from 1 species
AGAGUUUGAUCCUGGCUCAGAUUGAACGCUGGCGGUAUGCUUAACACAUGCAAGUCGAACGGAAACGAUGGUAGCUUGCUACCAGGCGUCGAGUGGCGGACGGGUGAGUAACGCGUAGGAAUCUGCCUGAUAGUGGGGGAUAGCCCAGAGAAAUCUGGAUUAAUACCGCAUAAUCUCUAUGGAGUAAAGGAGCCCUCUUCUUGAAAGGUUUCGCUAUCAGAUGAGCCUGCGUAAGAUUAGCUUGUUGGUGAGGUAAAAGCUCACCAAGGCGACGAUCUUUAGCUGGUCUGAGAGGAUGAUCAGCCACACUGGAACUGAGACACGGUCCAGACUCCUACGGGAGGCAGCAGUGGGGAAUAUUGGACAAUGGGCGCAAGCCUGAUCCAGCAAUACCGCGUGUGUGAAGAAGGCCUGAGGGUUGUAAAGCACUUUCAAUUGUGAAGAAAAGCUAAUGGCUAAUACCCAUUAGCCUUGACGUUAACUUUAGAAGAAGCACCGGCUAACUCCGUGCCAGCAGCCGCGGUAAUACGGAGGGUGCAAGCGUUACUCGGAAUCACUGGGCGUAAAGGACGCGUAGGCGGGAUGCCAAGUCUGAUGUGAAAUCCUAUGGCUUAACCAUAGAACUGCAUUGGAAACUGGUAACCUAGAGUAUGGGAGGGGGAGAUGGAAUUAGUGGUGUAGGGGUAAAAUCCGUAGAUAUCACUAGGAAUACCUAAAGCGAAGGCGAUCUCCUGGAACAAUACUGACGCUAAGGCGUGAAAGCGUGGGGAGCAAACGGGAUUAGAUACCCCGGUAGUCCACGCCCUAAACGAUGAACACUAGUCGUCGGGAUGCUAGUCAUCUCGGUGAUGCACUUAACAGAUUAAGUGUUCCGCCUGGGGAGUACGGUCGCAAGAUUAAAACUCAAAGGAAUAGACGGGGACCCGCACAAGUGGUGGAGCAUGUGGUUUAAUUCGAAGAUACGCGAAGAACCUUACCUAGCCUUGACAUUGAUUGAAUUCUGUAGAGAUACGGAAGUGCCUUUCGGGGAACAUGAAAACAGGUGCUGCACGGCUGUCGUCAGCUCGUGUCGUGAGAUGUUGGGUUAAGUCCCGCAACGAGCGCAACCCUCGUCCUUAGUUGCCAGCAGGUUAAGCUGGGCACUCUAAGGAGACUGCCUUCGCAAGGAGGAGGAAGGUGAGGACGACGUCAAGUCAUCAUGGCCCUUACGGCUAGGGCUACACACGUGCUACAAUGGGGCGUACAGAGUGUUGCGAUACCGCGAGGUGGAGCCAAUCACUUAAAGCGUCUCUCAGUUCGGAUUGGAGUCUGCAACUCGACUCCAUGAAGCUGGAAUCACUAGUAAUCGUAGAUCAGCAAUGCUACGGUGAAUACGUUCCCGGGUCUUGUACUCACCGCCCGUCACACCAUGGGAGUUGAUUUCACCCGAAGCGGGGAAGCUAAACUGGCUACCCUCCACGGUGGAAUUAGCGACUGGGGUGAAGUCGUAACAAGGUAACCGUAGGAGAACCUGC